ACCGUGCCCAGGUGAGAAGAACUGAGCCACGCUUCUCACAAUCAGCCCUCCAGUGCUAACCCGCUUGCCUGUCAGCCCCCCUCUUAGCCACAACCUUCCUGAAACUUCCCACUGUCCCAUCAUGGAAGGAAGAGAAUAGAGAUUUUUCCAGCUAGGCAUACGGAAAUGUCUACUAGCUGGUAGAUGAAGGAGACGAACACACAAAUGGAAGAGAGGAGAAGCGUGGCUAGCCCCCAUUGGAAGCAUCAUCUUGGCGCUGGCUAAGCCCCGGCUUUCCAGAAGGCACACUGCCCUAUGUGCUCCUCUCCGCUGUCUGCAAGUCUUGCAUUUCUCUUUGAACGCUGCCCCUCAAUAAAGUGAGUCUCGGUAUGAAAA